GUGCUUGCUUCAGCAGCACAUAUACUAAAAUUGGAACAAUACAGAGAAGAUUAGUAUGGCCCUUACGCAAGGAUGACACACAAAUCUGUGAAGCAUUCCAUAUUUAA